rnacentral:lncRNA from 1 species
UGUCCAUCGAGUACCUAUUUACCAUGACCUUACCUAUGACUUUGCCUCUGCAAAACACACGUUAGUCAUAGUAAUCGACAAUGUCAUUAAUCACUGAAAUCUCUAGGGGCCUAGAUGCUCUUUCACAAUCUGAUUAUCGCUUGUUUCUACGUGGAUUCCUACCAUGAUUAGAACAAAACAAGAGACAUACGCAAUAAUCUUUAUGCUCCUAUCAACUACAAGGAUGUGGUUGUUGUAAUUAUUUCACUCUCACCCUAUGCAAACAAGUUCUCACAAGUUCUUACCAAGCGAAACAGGAGGUGGCAGGAACCAACAAGUCAGAAAACCUAGAAAAUGGUGUAUCAACGCUGCAGCAACAACACUUGUCAAGUUGUAGUCUGAUAUGUGGAGUUAUAGGAUGGCUCUAUAUAUUGCACAAGGAAGUACUAGCACCACAUUAGUCACAAAAGCAUGUUGAGAAAUCAUUCAACGGUGGCACUGUGCUGGUCCUAGGCUAGACCGUGCUAGAGACGCGAGCCUGGGCACAGAUGAAGUCUCAAUAUCGCAAGAAUAAUAAGAACAACAAGAGAUAACUUCCCUUCUUUUCCUCUUCCUUUCUUUUCAUUCCUUUUUUUUCUUUUCUUUCCUUUUUCUUUUCUUUUUUCUGAUAUUUUUUUUGUUUCUUUCUAUUUUUUCCUACUUUGCUCAAAUAAAAUAAAUCUGAAUCUUGAUGGAUUAGAUUUCAGAAAACACACAAUGUCUUUAGUGUAACAAAAAUAUAACUAGCAGAUUAUGAUGGUGAUAUGAUGCUGCAGUAACACUGAUUGCAACGGGGAUGAGAAAAAUAGAAUGUGAAAGAAGAGUGGAGGAGAGGCAAAAGGAUGCGCAUGAAGUGGACAAGGAUGCAAUGUUCUAAAAUUAGAUGCCCAAGAGUGGAAUAAAUCUAGUGGUUGCAAUAGGAUGCUGAUUAAAAAUAGGAUGUUGAUUAUAGAAUGUGCAAGAGCGCUUACAAUAGGAUGUAUGAAUGGAAGAAAGGAACAUGCAGGUGGCAGUGAGUAAGAAUAGGUUGCUCACGGGUGGAAGUGAAAACGUGCAUGCAAUGGCCUAAAAAUAUAGGGUGCGCAUGAGUGAAAAGAGAGUGGUGGAUGGAGUUUACACGGUGCCCAAGUAGGGUGGUGAUGGUAGUUCAGAUAUAUAGUGUAGUCCAAAUGUAUAUGGUAAUAGUGAUUGCAGCGGAGAUUAUACGAUGGGCAAUGACUAAAACGUGACAAAAACUCGAAACUCUAAAAGUCUAAACCUAAGACCAGCAAUUCGACUCGACCGAUGUAAAUCAAACACAACUUGCCUGAACUAAGUAGUGCUAGUAAAAGGCUCAAAGGGUCUGAAAGGAUCAAGAUGCCCAAGAGGGGGGCGAAUUGGGCUUCUCUUAAAAAAUUAAGCA